UACGGAGGGAGCUAGCGUUGUUCGGAAUUACUGGGCGUAAAGCGCGCGUAGGCGGCCUUGUAAGUUAGAGGUGAAAGCCCGGAGCUCAACUCCGGAACUGCCUUUAAGACUGCAUCGCUUGAAUCCAGGAGAGGUGAGUGGAAUUCCGAGUGUAGAGGUGAAAUUCGUAGAUAUUCGGAAGAACACCAGUGGCGAAGGCGGCUCACUGGACUGGUAUUGACGCUGAGGUGCGAAAGCGUGGGGAGCAAACAGG
rnacentral:rRNA from 1 species